GGAAGCGUACUCAAGAGGCCCAAGAGGGCACCCUGCUAAGGUGUUAGAUCGGUUAUCCGGUGCGAGAGUUCGAAUCUCUCCGCUUCCGCCA
rnacentral:tRNA from 1 species